rnacentral:rRNA from 1 species
GGGUUGUGAGGUUAAGCGACUAAGCGUACACGGUGGAUGCCCUGGCAGUCAGAGGCGAUGAAGGACGUGCUAAUCUGCGAUAAGCGCCGGUAAGGUGAUAUGAACCGUUAUAACCGGCGAUUUCCGAAUGGGGAAACCCAGUGUGAUUCGUCACACUAUCAUUAACUGAAUCCAUAGGUUAAUGAGGCGAACCGGGGGAACUGAAACAUCUAAGUACCCCGAGGAAAAGAAAUCAACCGAGAUUCCCCCAGUAGCGGCGAGCGAACGGGGAGGAGCCCAGAGCCUGAAUCAGCAUGUGUGUUAGUGGAAGCGUCUGGAAAGGCGCGCGAUACAGGGUGACAGCCCCGUACACAAAAGCGCACAUGCUGUGAGCUCGAUGAGUAGGGCGGGACACGUGGUAUCCUGUCUGAAUAUGGGGGGACCAUCCUCCAAGGCUAAAUACUCCUGACUGACCGAUAGUGAACCAGUACCGUGAGGGAAAGGCGAAAAGAACCCCGGCGAGGGGAGUGAAAAAGAACCUGAAACCGUGUACGUACAAGCAGUGGGAGCACAGGUUUACCUGUGUGACUGCGUACCUUUUGUAUAAUGGGUCAGCGACUUAUAUUCUGUAGCAAGGUUAACCGUAU